rnacentral:rRNA from 1 species
AGAGUUUGAUCCUGGCUCAGAUUGAACGCUGGCGGCAUGCCUUACACAUGCAAGUCGAACGGCAGCACGGGGGCAACCCUGGUGGCGAGUGGCGAACGGGUGAGUAAUAUAUCGGAACGUGCCCUGGAGUGGGGGAUAACUAGUCGAAAGAUUAGCUAAUACCGCAUACGAUCUACGGAUGAAAGUGGGGGACCCGCAAGGGCCUCAUGCUCCUGGAGCGGCCGAUAUCUGAUUAGCUAGUUGGUGAGGUAAAGGCUCACCAAGGCAUCGAUCAGUAGCUGGUCUGAGAGGACGACCAGCCACACUGGGACUGAGACACGGCCCAGACUCCUACGGGAGGCAGCAGUGGGGAAUUUUGGACAAUGGGCGCAAGCCUGAUCCAGCAAUGCCGCGUGAGUGAAGAAGGCCUUCGGGUUGUAAAGCUCUUUUGUCAGGGAAGAAACGGUGAGGGCGAAUACCCUUUGCUAAUGACGGUACCUGAAGAAUAAGCACCGGCCUAACUACGUGCCCAGCAGCCCGCGGUUAAUACGUAGGGGUGCAA